GGGAUAGGGCCCGCUCCGCCAAUUUCCGAACCUCGCGGGGCGCGCGAACUAACACGGUAGCCAACCUACGACACAAAAAACUUCAUUUUUGUUGGCGCCUUUUGCCCAACUCGCCAUUAUUUUUAAAAUGCCUUAAUAGCUAUUACAUUUGGCAAAACAGGGAAAAAAGCUUGAAUGCUAGUUUAAUAAAAAUAAGGGGACAUGAAAUAUUAGUUUAAUAUUCGUUGAGCCAGCCCUGCUCGGAGCCUCCCGAAGUUCCUUCGGCUCCGAGCCGACCGCCACUUCGUUGCAGCAGUAGUGCGCUCGUGUCGUCCGUGUUGUGUUCGUCGUUGGACUUGUUUAUUUUUGUUGCGAUGGCUCUUGAUUUUAAGGCUUGGGGCGAUGUCAUCACCUUCCCUAACUCCAAGGGGAUGAAGGUGUUACUGGAGGCUGUUGACUCUAUUAUUCUAUCCACCAAUCUGCUCUAAGUGAUCGAUGAUGCGUUUUGCGGGCUCCCCAACUGAUCCUUCCGUUUGACUUGUGACUGAAGAUUGCCUAUUAGUGAUCUGUGAUAUAAUCUGUGAUAAAUGUUUUCAUUUGACAUGUAGUAUUUAAUUUAAAAUUUUGACUCGGUUAAUGAUUUGUGAUGUAUCUGUGACUAAUGUUUUCAUUAAACAUUCCUUUUUGGUUAAA